CGCGAAUCGCCCUUCGGGGCGCACCAGGCGCGAAAACUUUACAAUGCUGGCAACAGCGAUAAGGGGACCUCGAGUGCCAGGUUACAAAUCUGGCUGUCGUGAUGCCUAAAAAGCAUUGCAUAGCAAGGGCCGGGCAAGACCGGUGCCAGCCGCCGCGGUAACACCGGCGGCUCGAGUGGUAACCGUUAUUAUUGGGUCUAAAGGGUCUGUAGCCGGCCGGAUAAGUCUCUUGGGAAAUCCAGCAGCUCAACUGUUGGGCUUUCAGGAGAUACUGUCUGGCUCGAGGCCGGGAGAGGUGAGAGGUACUUCAGGGGUAGGGGUGAAAUCUUGUAAUCCUUGAAGGACCACCAGUGGCGAAGGCGUCUCACCAGAACGGACCUGACGGCAAGGGACGAAAGCUAGGGGCACGAACCGGAUUAGAUACCCGGGUAGUCCUAGCCGUAAACGAUACUCGCUAGGUGUCGGCCACGGUGCGACCGUUGUCGGUGCCGUAGGGAAGCCGUGAAGCGAGCCACCUGGGAAGUACGGCCGCAAGGCUGAAACUUAAAGGAAUUGGCGGGGGAGCAC
rnacentral:rRNA from 1 species